AGGAGGAACAACCCCAGUGGCGGGGCCAGCUCUGGAGCCCUGGAGUCAGCUCCCGCAGUAGCUCCAGAGCUCUCCGUCUGCAGGGCCUGGAGGCUCCGGGGCGGG
rnacentral:pre_miRNA from 1 species